rnacentral:rRNA from 1 species
UACCAGCACCCCGAGUGGUCGGGACGAUUAUUGGGCGUAAAGAGCGUGUAGGCGGUUUUACAGGUCCGCUGUGAAAACUCGAGGCUCAACCUCGAGCUGUCGGUGGAAACCGUAAGGCUAGAGUCCGGAAGAGGAGAGUGGAAUUCCUGGUGUAGCGGUGAAAUGCGCAGAUAUCAGGAAGAACACCCGUGGCGAAGGCGGCUCUCUGGGACGGUACUGACGCUGAGACGCGAAAGCGUGGGGAGCGAACAGG